GACGAACGCGGCGGCGUGCCUAAUACAUGCAAGUAGAACGCUGAAGGAGGAGCUUGCUUCUCUGGAUGAGUUGCGAACGGGUGAGUAACGCGUAGGUAACCUGCCUGGUAGCGGGGGAUAACUAUUGGAAACGAUUGCUAAUACCGCAUAAUAGUAGAUGUUGCAUGACAUUUACUUAAAAGGUGCAAUUGCAUCACUACCAGAUGGACCUGCGUUGUAUUAGCUAGUUGGUGGGGUAACGGCUCACCAAGGCGACGAUACAUAGCCGACCUGAGAGGGUGAUCGGCCACACUGGGACUGAGACACGGCCCAGACUCCUACGGGAGGCAGCAGUAGGGAAUCUUCGGCAAUGGACGGAAGUCUGACCGAGCAACGCCGCGUGAGUGAAGAAGGUUUUCGGAUCGUAAAGCUCUGUUGUAAGAGAAGAACGAGUGUGAGAGUGGAAAGUUCACACUGUGACG
rnacentral:rRNA from 1 species